rnacentral:misc_RNA from 1 species
AAUAAUAAUAAACCUAAUGGAAUUAUUAAAUACUGAAUUCUGAGUCUAAUAGAAUUUUAAACAUAAAUUACAAUGAAUAUAAUCCCAAAGCAUCCUAAAUUGAAUUUUCUUCUGGUACUGCAUCACAAAAAAGGCAGAGGAAAUACUUUACCCCUACAAGUUCUUCUCAGUUGGAACUACUUCAACUCACAACCUUCAUUUUGGAGAAACUCGACACAGGCAAAGAUGAUCAAACAAACACAAAGCUGACAGCCAGUGUGUGACAUUGAAAAUUAACCUUCCCGAUGAACAAAAAACCUCGUUCUAUCAAAAUAUUGGCUACGGCUUUGAAAAAUGAAAAAUACUGUGGUUCAGCUAGGACUUUCCACAAUAUAAAGUGUUGGAAUGUGAGACUAUUCAGGAGAUCCAAAAUUUCUGUGAUCCGGUGACGAGAUAAUCAAUCAUGGGAAUAAAAAAAUAGUACCAAACAUGUGCGAAAGGGUUAGAACAAGGAAUUAAGAGAAUAAGGAGCAAUAACCGUCAACCUGUAUCAUGCAAUGAAGAAGGCCCAUUCGAAAAUCCCAUUCUCUGAGAAUGGACUACAAUGAAAUCCCAACCGCAUGAAUUAUUAACAACUUUGCACUUUCUCAAACUGAAACUAUUAUGUCAUCCUAGGCAUGCAUGAAGUUCAACCUCCUAGUAGAAAUGAACGAAACCCUUCAAGCUGGAAUCGAUCACCUAACAUCAAGUUUAAACACGUUGCCUUGUUUAUUUUGCAAAAUAUGUGUCUAUAAGACAAUAACAUCCUUUAGAUGAAAGCAAAG